CCUACGGGAGGCAGCAGUAGGGAAUAUUGGACAAUGGGCGCAAGCCUGAUCCAGCCAUGCCGCGUGAGUGAAGAAGGCCCUCGGGUUGUAAAGCUCUUUUGUUGGGGAAGAAAAGCAGUUGGUUAAUACCCGAUUGUUCUGACGGUACCCAAAGAAUAAGCACCGGCUAACUUCGUGCCAGCAGCCGCGGUAAU
rnacentral:rRNA from 2 species